GACGAACGCUGGCGGCGUGCUUAACACAUGCAAGUCGAACGGAAAGGCCCUGCUUUUGUGGGGUGCUCGAGUGGCGAACGGGAGAGUAACACGUGAGUAACCUGCCCUUGACUUUGGGAUAACUUCAGGAAACUGGGGCUAAUACCGGAUAGGAGCUCCUGCUGCAUGGUGGGGGUUGGAAAGUUUCGGCGGUUGGGGAUGGACUCGCGGCUUAUCAGCUUGUUGGUGGGGUAGUGGCCUACCAAGGCUUUGACGGGUAGCCGGCCUGAGAGGGUGACCGGCCACAUUGGGACUGAGAUACGGCCCAGACUCCUACGGGAGGCAGCAGUGGGGAAUAUUGCACAAUGGGCGGAAGCCUGAUGCAGCAACGCCGCGUGCGGGAUGACGGCCUUCGGGUUGUAAACCGCUUUCGCCUGUGACGAAGCGUGAGUGACGGUAAUGGGUAAAGAAGCACCGGCUAACUACGUG
rnacentral:rRNA from 1 species